rnacentral:tRNA from 1 species
GGAAGCGUGCCUGAAAACUAAGGACCUCCUUGAUAGGGAGAACUAUAUGGGUCAAACCCCCAUCGCCUCCU